rfam:Loxodonta africana unplaced genomic scaffold scaffold_6, whole genome shotgun sequence.
GCCCUGGUGGUGCAACGGUUAAGCACUCGGCUGCCAACUGAAGGGUUGGUGGUUCAAAUCCACCCAGUGGCU